GAGUUUGAUUCUGGCUCAGGAUGAACGCUGGCGGCGCGCCUAAUACAUGCAAGUCGAACGGAGUGUGUUCUCGUAACGCACUCAGUGGCGAACGGGUGAGUAACGCGUAGGUGACCUACCCCGAAGAGGGGGAUAACAGCUCGAAAGGGCUGCUAAUACCCCAUGUGGUUCUGUGGAUUAGAGGCCGCAGAACUAAAGGCGCAAGCCGCUUCGGGAUGGGCCUGCGUCCCAUCAGCUAGUUGGUAGGGUAACGGCCUACCAAGGCGAUGACGGGUAGGGGGCCUGAGAGGGUGGCCCCCCACACUGGCACUGAAACACGGGCCAGACACCUACGGGUGGCAGCAGUAGGGAAUAUUGGGCAAUGGGCGAAAGCCUGACCCAGCGACGCCGCGUGCGCGAUGAAGGCCUUCGGGUUGUAAAGCGCUUUUGGAGGGGAUGAGGAAGGACAGUACCCUCCGAAUAAGCCUCGGCUAACUACGUGCCAGCAGCCGCGGUAAAACGUAGGAGGCGAGCGUUAUCCGGAUUUACUGGGCGUAAAGCGCGUGUAGGCGGUCCGGCAAGUUGGAUGUGAAAUCUCCCGGCUCAACCGGGAGAGGUCGUUCAAUACUGCUGGGCUAGAGAGCAGUAGAGGGGGGUGGAAUUCCGGGUGUAGCGGUGAAAUGCGUAGAUAUCCGGAGGAACACCAGUGGCGAAGGCGGCCCCCUGGACUGUCUCUGACGCUCAGACGCGAAAGCUAGGGGAGCAAACGGGAUUAGAUACCCUGGUAGUC
rnacentral:rRNA from 1 species